AGAGUUUGAUCCUGGCUCAGGAUGAACGCUAGCUACAGGCUUAACACAUGCAAGUCGAGGGGUAACAAGAGGAAAGCUUGCUUUUCUUGUUGACGACCGGCGCACGGGUGAGUAACGCGUAUCCAACCUGCCUAUAACUAGGGAAUAACCUUGCGAAAGUAAGACUAAUGCCCUAUGAUUUCCUUUGAUGGCAUCAGAUUAGGAAUAAAGAUUUAUCGGUUAUAGAUGGGGAUGCGUCUGAUUAGCUUGUUGGCGGGGUAACGGCCCACCAAGACAACGAUGGAUAGGGGAACUGAGAGGUUUGUCCCCCACACUGGAACUGAGACACGGUCCAGACUCCUACGGGAGGCAGCAGUGAGGAAUAUUGGUCAAUGGAGGAAACUCUGAACCAGCCAAGUCGCGUGAAGGAUGACUGCCCUACGGGUUGUAAACUUCUUUUUUAAGGGAAUAAAGUGAGCCACGUGUGGCUUUUUGCACGUACCUUACGAAUAAGGAUCGGCUAACUCCGUGCCAGCAGCCGCGGUAAUACGGAGGAUCCGAGCGUUAUCCGGAUUUAUUGGGUUUAAAGGGUGCGCAGGCGGAAUAUUAAGUCGGCGGUGAAAAGUUUGCAGCUUAACUGUAAAAUUGCCGUUGAUACUGGUAUUCUUGGAGGGAUAUGAAGUAAGCGGGAAUUUGAAUGGUAGCGGUGAAAAGGCAUAAAUUUUUACAAGGAAACUCCGAAUUGCAAAGGCAGCU
rnacentral:rRNA from 1 species